rnacentral:rRNA from 1 species
GUGCCAGCAGCCGCGGUAAUACGUAGGGUGCGAGCGUUAAUCGGAAUUACUGGGCGUAAAGCGUACGCAGGCGGCUAUGCAAGACAGAUGUGAAAUCCCCGGGCUUAACCUGGGAACUGCAUUUGUGACUGCAUAGCUAGAGUUUGUCAGAGGGGGGUGGAAUUCCACGUGUAGCAGUGAAAUGCGUAGAGAUGUGGAGGAACACCGAUGGCGAAGGCAGCCCCCUGGGACCUGACUGACGCUCAUGUACGAAAGCGUGGGGAGCAAACAGGAUUAGAAACCCUCGUAGUCC